UAAAUCCAAACAAUUAGUAAAAUUAUUAUCAAUCUCCAAUUUCGUAAACUUUUUCAUUCCACAAUAAAUUCCUACUGAUUCUUUUUAAUCCACCGACUUUUUACAGGCAGUCCUUAAUGAUAUAGUGUGUGUACCUAUACAUAUAUAAUACACAUGCAUUUAUGGAAUGCGUGAGAGUAGGCCCACAGCUGUCGACUCGUGUGGCUGCGGUCGCCAGCGUGUGUCAAAUACUACAGGCAUUAAGAAAGUCGAAGCGUAAGGGGCGGGAAGUAUUUAAGAGAGGAAUUGGGGGAGCCGCAGGCCUAAGGGGCAUAGGUAGUGUGGCCCAAAGGCCCGUUGCGCGGGCGAGGUAAGAGGAAAGGUAGAGGAGGAGGAGAAGCAGCUGCCAAGCGGCAAAACGAGAAACAGGAACCUAGCAGCUGGCCGCCCCGUGCAAAGCGCAGGUGCACCGACCACGCAUCCAUCCCCCUUUCUUCUUCCUGCCGUAAAUACUAAGUGGUAGCGGCAGCCGUUAUCUACACAGACGCGUUGUCGGCGCGCGAGCAAGCACAUGCCGGACCCUUCAGCCCUUCGAUGUGUAUGCCCUCACCACGAAAUUAAUCUCAAGACCUUGUAUGCGAAAAAAAAUUAGCUAUAGCUAUUGAGUGGCACGCGCGCAUCUAGGAGUCCCGACAGAAUUACCGAUGGCGAAAGACAUAUAUGUAUUGUAUAGGAAACCACUUACCUGAGUACUGACAUCCGCACAGGAGCUAGACAAGAAAUUGGCGUGUUUCUUGCUCGUAGCAAUGUCAAGCCUGAUGACACCAAGAUCAGCCUCGAUCUUGGUGAUCCUGCUACCGAGAUCACGUACAUUCCUGCCGACUUCGGCGACGUCACCCCUUAACAGGGCUAAUUCGCUC